rnacentral:rRNA from 1 species
GACGAACCGAGCGAACGUUGUUCGGAAUCACUGGGCAUAAAGGGCGCGUAGGCGGGGAUCUAAGUCCGUGGUGAAAUACCUUGGCUCAACCAAGGAACUGCCUCGGAUACUGGGUCUCUCGAGGAAGAUAGGGGCUUGCGGAACGGCUGGUGGAGCGGUGAAAUGCGUUGAUAUCAGGAGGAACACCGAUGGCGAAGGCAGGUCUCUGGGCCACUACUGACGCUGAGAAGCGAAAGCAUGGGGAGCGAACAGG